AGUGAACGCUGGCGGCGUGCUUAACACAUGCAAGUCGAACGAGAACGGAUUAUAGCUUGCUAUAAUUGUCAGCUAAGUGGCGCACGGGUGAGUAAUAUAUAGGUAACGUGCCCUAGAGAGGGGGAUAACAGUUGGAAACGAUUGCUAACACCCCAUAUGCCUUUAUCCCAUAAGGGAGCAAGGGAAAUAUUUAUAGCUCUAGGAUCAGCCUGUACAGUAUCAGUUAGUUGGUGAGGUAAUGGCUCACCAAGACAAUGACGCUUAACUGGUUUGAGAGGAUGAUCAGUCACACUGGAACUGAGACACGGUCCAGACUCCUACGGGAGGCAGCAGUGGGGAAUAUUGCACAAUGGACGAAAGUCUGAUGCAGCAACGCCGCGUGGAGGAUGACACAUUUCGGUGCGUAAACUCCUUUUAUAUAGGAAGAUAAUGACGGUACUAUAUGAAUAAGCACCGGCUAACUCCGUGCCAG
rnacentral:rRNA from 1 species